UACGGAGGGUGCAAACGUUGCUCGGAAUUAUUGGGCGUAAAGCGCACGUAGGCGGCCGAAUAAGUCGGGCGUGAAAGCCCAGGGCUCAACCCUGGAAGUGCACUCGAAACUGCUCGGCUUGAAUAUGGAAGAGGGUCGCGGAAUUCCCGGUGUAGAGGUGAAAUUCGUAGAUAUUCGGAAGAACACCAGUGGCGAAGGCGACUCACUGGACACGUAUUGACGCUGAGGUGCGAAAGCGUGGGGAGCAAACAGG
rnacentral:rRNA from 1 species